ensembl:snRNA U6 U6 spliceosomal RNA
GUGCUCCCUUCAGCAGCACAUAUAUUAAAAUUGGAAGGAUACAGAGAAGAUUACCAUGGCCCCUGUGCAAGGAUGACAUGCAAAUU